rnacentral:lncRNA from 1 species
AUGAUCAACAUUGCUCAUGGUUUGCGGUUUUGUGUGUGGCGAGGCAAGAAACCAGCCUACUAUGAUGAAAAAAAAAAGGCUGUAACUUUCUCGGAGAUCACCCAAGAGCUGGCCCACUAUCCAUACAAUUUAUUUUUGUUUGCUGAAGGCCUGAUCAUGUGCCUCUUAAAUCAUGAAAAUGGUCUACUCUUGGGAGAAGUUGCACCAAAGGUUUUUCAAACAGUUCUAUUUAGCAGUUCUAUUUGUUAUAUGGGCGACACUAAUUUUGCAACCACAGAUUUAAGAGAUAUAUUUAAAGAGCGAGACAGAGUGCGCUUUAUAGCUGUCAGAGCACCUGGAAAUCGAAUGGUUGCUCAGUGGGUCGCGACCUAUGUUGCACCCUUAGAUCCUGCUGAUAACGCAGAUUUCUUAGUGCACGGAAUGAAAGUGCAAUGAAAAUCUUACUAAGUAUGUACAAAUCUUGAGACUCAAUUUCAAAAAAUCUUAAUUUUCCCCCCACCCUCAAAUUUUUUCUUUCAGUCGGAAUUUGUUUAUAAUUCCCCUUGUUUUGGUUCAGUAUUAUCAUCCAGUUAUUUUCAAAGUAUUUGUGGUCUUAAAAUUAUGGAUGUAUGUAAUAAUAUGUAGUCCCUUUUUGGUAAAGUAAAAUUUUAUAUGAGUUUUCAAAAUAAAUCAUUCCUUUUUAUUGAACAUCAUAAAUGCUGUCUCAGAGAUUCUAAGACUGAUGCUAACACCUGAAACAAUUUAUAAUUUUUUAAAUUUGAGUGAAGUCAUUUUCUUUCUCUAUUUCAGUUUUUGAGAAUAUAUUUUACCUACUGACUUUCUCUAUUUGGCCUAGCAAUAAAAGUCUUACCUCGUCUAAAAGUUAUUACUAUAUUAUUUUUUUUAAUUUUUGGCAAAAGUUUACCUAUUAAAAAACAACAAAAUAAUUGUAUAAUAAACUAAUCACUAAGAAGGGUUUUUUGAAGAAAAAUUUAAUUAAUUUUUUUGAAGCUUAUACACAUCAAAAUUAUGGCUGCUGUCAAUUUUAGUUGUGUUGUAAAAAAUGUGUUAAAUGUUUGUGCUCUGAACUAUUAAUUGGACUGUCUUUGUCACCAAUUCAUUUCUGCAUUUCAUCAAUAUGCUAUUACAAUUCUUAACUUGAUUCAGUAAGUUUGAAAAGUUAACAGAAAAAGGUGUUCAAGUGUUUGGCCAAUGUGGACCAAUGCUCUUGGAAUUUCUCUUUCUCAGUUAAGGAUAGUCAAUAUAAAUGUAUGUGUCAUGUUUGUUCCUUUUUAGUAAAUUAAAGUUUCCAUUAUCUUCAUAAUAGAGUUUGCCUUUUCCACCGAACAUGACAAAUGUUGUCUAAGAGAUACAGGAUUGAUGCUACACCUACAUGUUAUUUUCGAGUUUUAAUCAUAGUCAUUUUCUUUCACCAUUUCGAUGAUUAACAACUUACUUAUCUUACUGGCCAACUUCCUCUGUGCCUUCAUUUAGCCUAGUGGAUAUAUUUAACAAGGUCGCAAAUUUAUUAUGUUCUUUUUUUAUAAAUAACUCAAUUCCAAAACAAUACAAUUUUAUUUUAAGAAAAAAUUAUUACUCAUUAAAAUAUUUUUUAGAUAAUGUUUUUUUAAUUUGUUUAACUCAUUUACAUUGAAGACUAUGGCUGUGUCAAUUUUUGUUAUGCUGUAAAUAAAUUUGUUUAUUUGUCCUAUCUUAUGUUUGAAAAUUACUAAGGAUCAUUGCUGCGCCCUUAUUAUUCCCCCAUUUCUGCAUUUCUUCAAUUUGAUUUUCAAAAAUCUCCAUGCCUAUAAAAAUUUGGGAAAUUUUACAGUAAGAAAUGUCCAUCAAAUAGUUGCGUCGAUCACUGAGGCAUUAUGAUGCCUGAACUUCAGAAAUAACUUAUCGGAAC